GCGGGAUUAGUAUAGCGGUAGUACGUUUCCUUCCCAAGGAAAAAGCGCCAGUUCGAUUCUGGUAUCCCGCU
rfam:Parcubacteria bacterium DG_74_1, whole genome shotgun sequence.